CCGAGGUAGUACUUCAAACAUAAUAAUCUAGAAGUUAUGUUAAACACGUUUCAUGUAAACUGCCUGUCCUAUCCGAGACGGGCACAGCCUCUUCUUCUACCCCUUCGAAUGUGAGUGUCUACUUCGGCUCCAUUAAUACACAGUGGAUUUCCAAUAAGGGGUUCAUCACCCGGAAGAGCAGUAAUGUUCCUCUGAAGAAUGAGAGUUUGGUAGAUGAGAUUAGGGAGAGUAAUUUUGGUGUCAGCAUCAAAAUAUAGUUGCCUCCGAGAGAUCAUCACUCUUCCAAACGUGAGAGUGUUCGACAUUUGGAGUCAUAAAUAGUUGAUUUAUCACGACAGGGUCGAAUCAAACAUGCAGCCCCUAAUAUAGACUCCGUCAUUGGCACUGUAUAGGUUCGAAAUGCAUUCCCUGACUACUCUUGGACAGAAAAGGGCGAACAUGCAAAACAAUGUAAAUCCACCCAACAGUUUCUAAUAUUCGACGAGCUUCACAAACAGCGGGGUCAUCUAACAGUAAGAUUCCUUAGACUAAAAAACCCUAUAUGCAUAGUUCUUGAUACUUACUAAAGCUAUCUUCACUUACAUGACGAAGAGACCACGGGUUUGGUACUGGUGCGUUUGAGACCAAGAAGACCCGUGUUGCUUCGAGGCGAGAUUCAAAACUCAUAUAAGGAGUUGCUUCGAGGCGAUGAGGACUACCGCUGCGAGAUUCACAGUUCCGGCAAAGGUUGGAUCCAGAUGAUUCAGAGCUCAUCUUUUGAUUAGGGAAUGAGAUAUUCGUAGAUAAAAUUAGGGAGAGUAAUUUUGGAUCUAAAAGAUGAUGGAGUGGUGAAAAGAAAAUUCUUUGGUAUUAACCAUAGCAAGUCGAUAAGAGGAAACUGAGAGACUUUGAAAAUGGACAGUGAUAAUAC
rnacentral:lncRNA from 1 species